GCACUCUUAAGUAAGCUAUGUUAUUUGAUUAUGUGUGUUGGAAUAUUUGCAUAGUUUUUCCCUUUUAAAAUCUUUGUUGUGGAAAAUCUAAAGCAAACUGAAUGCCCAUGUUCCCAUCACUCAGCUUCAAUAUUUAUAAACUCAUAGCCAACCCUAUUUCCUUUCCACUCUCCCUACUGACUCUCUUUCUCAUAAAUUCCAGGCAAAAUAGUUGUAAAUAUUUUAGUAUGUAUCGGUGGAAGUCAAGAACUCUUAAAACAUAGCUGUGAUGCCGUCAUCAGACCUUCCUCAAAAAAAAAAAUCAGUAAUAAUUCCUUAACAUCAUCAAAUAUCCAUAAUUUACACAUUGUUGUCCUAUAACCUUUUAAAUACCUUGUUUGAAUUCACAUGUAAAAAGUUGUUAAGAUUUUUAAAAAUUUUUUGACUGAAGAUGUGGAUUUGUUUCUUGCAAAAUUUACUACUGCCUAGAUUUUGCUAGGUGUAUUUGCAUGCUGCCAUUUAGUACAUUCCUUGUUUCUGCUGGUAUGGGAUAUACAUUCCUAUAUACUGAAUUGUUUCAGGAAUGUUGCAGCUUUAGACAGUAACUCAAAGUACCUUGAAGUUUCAACUCAAGACUGUAGUUAUGGCUCAGGAUCUGUCAUCAGAUUGCAUCUAGAUUGUAAACUGGGUUGGUAGUGAUGUGGAUGUUUGGAGCUCAUAUUUGGCCUUCAUUUCUUGUGAUACUUUUCAUAGAGGUGUCCAAUUUGUCUCACAACACGUCAGUUUCUCUACACCAGUGCAACUGAUCUAACAGCCAGACCAAGUCAUAUGCCACAAUGUCUAUCUUCUUGAAGGUCCCAACAGCAUGGUUUCACAUCCAUUCUAUUUGCUAAAUGCAAAUCACCAAAUGUUAUUCAUACUCAACAAGUGAGGAUUUAGGCUCUGCUUUUGGAAGGAAGCUGGAUCAAGUAUCUGUUCUCUCAUUUGUGAAGAUUGGAAUGUCCAAGAUCAGUGGCAGAUUCAUUGUCUGGCCAGAGUCCAGCCUCUGGUUCCCAGAUGACUCUUUCUAUAGCUUUGUCUGGUACAGACAGAGAAGAGAGAGAGAAGGAUCUUCUGCUUCUUCUGUUUUUAUAAAGACAGUAAUUCCAUCAUGAACUCCACCCUCCUUGCCUUUCAUAGGAUCUGUUUUCCAAUAUUACACUGAGGAUUGGGGGUUCAAAAUAUGAAUCUUGCAGGAAGACAGGGAGGUAGGAUGCAAACAAUCAGACCAUAGGAGCCAAAGAGAAAUAAAGCAUGGAAAGUUCCACCAUUCCAAAGGACUUCACACAUGUCAAGAGUCAUGACUGAAUGAAUAAAAUAUCUAUUUGUCAUGAUUUCUGUUGGAACAAUUCACUAAAGGUUAUUUAUCCUUAGUGCCGAUUUGAACUUUCAUUCUCGCAGUCUUCAAUUUCCAGCUGUAAAAUCUCCUAAAAUAAUUUGCAUCACCAGCUCUCAGAAUGACCGAGGAGCCCUUUAAAACCGAGAUUUUACUCUUAGGGGAAAUGAAUGUGAGAACAGUUUGUAACAAGAGUAACUAAGUUGAGUUGGAAUCACAUAAAAACAUACUGACACAUUAUUUACUGACAAAACACUAAUAAGAUGGGCCUCUGGUGCCUGGAAGGGCCCAGUUUAUUCUUCAAGACACCUAAAUUGCACCCAAAGAGGAAGUUAGGAGCCUACAGAAUUGAACUCACCUUCACAGAGGGAAUCCAUUUUUGCUUCAUUAUCAGAGAGCACCUGGGCUGCCACCGAGGAAUUUAUGCAGAUGUGAUGGUGUGGAAUCUGCCUCAAGCCCCCUCUCUACCAGUGAAGAAGGAACACAAUAAAACACAGACAUGUUGCCCUAAUACACUAAUUGGAAUACACGCUUCUGAGCUCAGGAAGAUUCCUCCAGGAAACAGCAUAGAUCAUUACAGGAGAGAAGGACCCCAAGCAGAAAUCAGCAUUUGUCUAGUGUUGUCAGUGAAUGGCCUUCCUGAUGCUGGGUACAUUGGACUGGAAGGAGCUUAUAGUCUGCUGGGUGGAAACAUCCCAUAUCAUCUGUACUUGAUUUAGCUAAAAGACUGAGAGGUGACCAUCCGAUGCUAUCUGAAUCCAAGGGCUACGGCAGACGCUGGAGAAAUUGCAGUUGUAAAAGUCACCUGCUGAGAAUACAUCUCCUGGAAAAGAAGCCCUCUGAAGCCCACCUGCCUUCAUUCUGCAUGAGCAUGGAGUGGCCUUGUUUUGUCUUGACUCCUUACUGCCACAUAAUGGCCUUGUCAGAUCUUGAUGUUGCAUAAAGUUGCUUAUGUUCAAUAGAACUCCAAGGCUUAGUUGCAUGUGCCAGGCCAGCUCCUGGCAGCACCAAGGCCAGCCCGAUAGAUGUCCCAGGUGAGUUCCCAAGUAUCAGGGCUGUUGUCUCUUUCUCAAUGGAAUUGU